AAUUUCAAAAAUAUAUUAUUAUUAUUUUUUCAAUAUAUCUCUCAUAUAUUUUUUUAUUAUUUUAAAAUAUUUCUACAGUUAACACCCGUCAAGUUAAUUUAGAUUAAAUCUGAGUUAAAUAUUUACUACAAUUAAAAAAAAUUAAAAUAUUAUUUUUAUUCUUAAUUUAAGGGCAAAUAAAAAAUGUUGGUGAUAAUCAUUUUUUGUGCUCGUAACUUAAGAACCAAUAAAAAAAAUUGGUGAUGAUAGAAAGGUAUAUUUUAAAAAAGCAAAAUAGUAAUUUUAUUGAGAUAACAGAGUUCAUUAACAUAUUUUAAUUCUAGAAAUAUAUUUGAAAUAGGUUGGAACGUAAAAAAUGUAUUUUUAAUAUUAGCCUUCUA
rnacentral:lncRNA from 1 species